CCUCCGCCGCCAGUAUGGGCAUGGAGGUGGGCGAAUCUUCCGUAGGAAUGUCGCGGGAGGAGUGCAUUGAUCGAAUCACGAAGAGCCUUAAAGAUCCCACAGUUAGGUUUUUACGAAAGCAGAUGGAGCAGGCAGGAUGUCCCGUGUGGGGAAGGCUGCUCUUGGCUGUUAAUUGCAAGAAUCAAGGCCUUGCCGGAGGCUACUCCAGUAGAAAUGGGAUCACUGUAUGUUGUAAUCAACUGUCUUACCAAGAUGAGAUAAAUCAAGUUCUAAUACAUGAACUUAUUCAUGCUUAUGAUGAUUGUCGUGCCAAGAACAUGGACUGGAAAAAUUGUGCUCAUCAUGCUUGUUCUGAGAUCAGGGCCAACCAUCUAAGUGGAGAUUGCCAUUAUAAGCGAGAAAUGCUACGAGGGUUCAUGAAAAUACGAGGUCACGAGCAAGAGUGUGUGAGAAGGAGAGCUCUAAAAUCUGUAAAAAAUAAUCCAUACUGCUCGGAAGCUGCUGCUAAGGAUGCCAUUGCAGCAGUAUGGGAUAUAUGCUAUGAGGAUACUUCUCCAUUCGAUAGGGCGCCUUAAUUCUUUGAACAAAAAUAUUCCCCCAUCAUUUUCUCUUCAGAAAUGAAGCUGAAAAUUUCAGCAGGUUCAGUACUGAUUCUUAUGAAAAUGGUUUCUACUCAUGAUUUUGAAGCUGCUAAACUCUUUUGCUGAAAUGAGCUGAUUAUACCAGAUCACACCUUCGACGAUUAUUUGCCUAGAUUGCUUUUAGCAAUUAAUAGAUAAAGUGUUGGCCCAUGUGGUCAUGAAGCUUUAUCAAAGAGCUAUACUGGUUAGUAGUUGUGUGAUUCUGUCUAGUUAUGCAUCACUUUUAUUGAACCCGCUCUUCUUUUUCGGCAUGAGCUUAUGAAAAUGACAAGUAUAUUGUACUUUUAUUUGAUAGAAGUCUAGCGGAUUAGUUUAUUAUUGUAAUGUAGAAAAUGUAUGGUUUAUUUGAAGAUGGAUUUUU